rnacentral:rRNA from 1 species
AACGUAGGACGCAAGCGUUAUCCGGAGUUACUGGGCGUAAAGCGCGGGCAGGCGGUUCUUUAAGUCUGAUGUGAAAUCUCCCGGCUCAACCGGGAGCAGCCAUUGGAGACUAGGGAACUGGAGGGCGAGAGAGGUAGGCGGAAUUCCGGGUGGAGUGGUGAAAUGCGUAGAGAUCCGGAGGAACACCAGAGGCGAAGGCGGCCUACUGGCUCGCACCUGACGCUGAGCCGCGAAAGCCAGGGGAGCGAACGGG